rnacentral:rRNA from 1 species
CCUACGGGGGGCAGCAGUGAGGAAUAUUGGUCAAUGGACGAGAGUCUGAACCAGCCAAGUAGCGUGCAGGAUGACUGCCCUAUGGGUUGUAAACUUCUUUUAUACGGGAAUAAAAUAGGGCAUGCAUACUCUUUUGUAUGUACCAUAUGAAUAAGGACCGGCUAAUUCCGUGCCAGCAGCCGCGGUAAUACGGAGGAUCCGGGCGUUAUCCGGAUUUAUUGGGUUUAAAGGGAGCGUAGGUGGAUUGUUAAGCCCGUUGUGAAAGUUCGCGGCUCAACCGUGGAAUUGCAGUUGGAACUGGCAGUCUUGAGUACGGUAGAGGUAGGCGGAAUUCGUGGUGUAGCGGUGAAAUGCUUAGAUAUCACGAAGAACUCCGAUUGCGAAGGCAGCACACUGCACUGCAACUGACGCUGAUGCUCGAAGGUGUGGGUAUCGAACAGGAUUAGAUACCCCUGUAGUC